CUGCGACUGCGGCUGCUGCUACUGCAUGGCCUGCAUUGCUUCGGUGAGGCCCCUAACCUGCUGAACUAGCAGGUUGACCUGCUCCAUGCCGACUGCCGUUGUCGGAGGAGGAGGAGCCUGAAAAAUUGGAGACGAGGUCGGAGCUGGCGGAUCUUGCUGAGAUCUGGUGAUGGAGGCCAUAGAUCGCCUGGUUGAUGCCUUUCGGGGAGGCAUUAGGUUGGGAUCUGGCCGGAGAAGAAGAAGAAGAUAUCGAAGAAGAUGACCGGAGAUAGUCCUGUUGAGUACUCCUUUAAGAAUAAGGGUCCUGCGAAGACACAGGCCCUUCCUCUAGCGUCAAUUCUGUUGGUGCAGAAUUCCACUG
rnacentral:lncRNA from 1 species